rnacentral:rRNA from 1 species
CCUACGGGUGGCAGCAGUGAGGAAUAUUGGUCAAUGGGCGCGAGCCUGAACCAGCCAAGUAGCGUGAAGGAUGACUGCCCUACGGGUUGUAAACUUCUUUUAUAAAGGAAUAAAGUGAGGCACGUGUGCCUUUUUGUAUGUACUUUAUGAUUAAGGAUCGGCUAACUCCGUGCCCGCAGCCGCGGUAAUACGGAGGAUCCGAGCGUUAUCCGGAUUUUUUGGGUUUAAAGGGAUCGUAAGUGGGUUGAUAAGUUAGUUGUUAAAGUUCGCGGCUCAACCGUAAAAUUGCAAUUGAUACUGGCAGUCUUGAGUACAGUUGAGGUAGGCGGAAUUCGUGGUGUAGCGGUGAAAUGCUUAGAUAUCACGAAGAACUCCGAUUGCGAAGGCAGCUUACUAAACUGCCACUGACAUUGAUGCACGAAAGUGUGGGUAUCAAACAGGAUUAGAUACCCUAGUAGUC